UUAAGGAAACAAACAAGAAAAAAAAAAAAAAAGCAUUUGGGUGAAGAGUUGUGGUUUGAAUGAUGUGACAACUGCUCCCUGGGAGCAGCCAUUGUUACAUUCUUUUGGCUUUGAUUGGCCCAGACAGAAUCUUACAAAUACCUUUGUGUUGAUUAGGAUCACAAGUUCCUGGCUGAACAGAAUUGUCAGUGGAGGUUGAAUAAUGGAACCCUCCUUGACUGAAGGUCUCUUUUUUUCUCCUCUCCGUACUGAAUAUCUGCCUCUGAUGACAUUUCUCCACAAUAUUCUGUCCAUGCCAGGACUGAAAAGGGAAUAGAAGAGGCUGAAGAAUUUUGUCCCAGUCUUCUGAACUGCUUAUGAAGAAAGUGAUGGUGAUAAACAGGGUAUGACCUUGAAAGCCUUUCAGCCACCAAGUUCCAGAUGCUACUAUGAUUCUAUACUGACUUCUCUGGGAAGAUGACCUCACUAAUGCUUCCUGAAACCUCACCUCCCCAGAACCCUACCCCACUAAGGAAAGACAGAAACAGGUUGGGAAUAUGGAUCGACCUGCCAAAGUCCGUGUCCAGCAGAGAAGCAAUUACAGAAGCCAGAACUCCCACCUUCUGCACCCCAAAACAAAUUUUGGUUUAUACUUCCAGAGGGAUAAAUGAUAGGGGAAAUAAAUCAGAGGGUUCUGUAGUACCCCCA